UACGUAGGGGGCAAGCGUUGUCCGGAUUUAUUGGGCGUAAAGAGCGUGUAGGCGGCCAUACAGGUCAGCUGUGAAAACUCGAGGCUCAACCUCGAGACGUCGGUUGAAACCGUAUGGCUAGAGUCCGGAAGAGGAGAGUGGAAUUCCCGGUGUAGCGGUGAAAUGCGCAGAUAUCGGGAAGAACACCCGUGGCGAAGGCGGCUCUCUGGGACGGUACUGACGCUGAGACGCGAAAGCGUUGGGAGCGAACAGG
rnacentral:rRNA from 1 species